rnacentral:rRNA from 1 species
GACGAACGCUGGCGACGUGCUUAACACAUGCAAGUCGAACGGUAAGGCCCUUUGGGGUACACGAGUGGCGAACGGGUGAGUAACACGUGGGUGAUCUGCCCUGCACUUCGGGAUAAGCCUGGGAAACUGGGUCUAAUACCGGAUAGGACCACUGCCUGCAUGGGUGGUGGUGGAAAGCUUUUGCGGUGUGGGAUGGGCCCGCGGCCUAUCAGCUUGUUGGUGGGGUGAUGGCCUACCAAGGCGACGACGGGUAGCCGGCCUGAGAGGGUGACCGGCCACACUGGGACUGAGAUACGGCCCAGACUCCUACGGGAGGCAGCAGUGGGGAAUAUUGCACAAUGGGCGCAAGCCUGAUGCAGCGACGCCGCGUGAGGGAUGACGGCCUCCGGGUUGUAAACCUCUUUCAGCACCGACGAAGCGCAAGUGACGGUAGGUGCAGAAGAAGGACCGGCCAACUACGUGCCAGCCGCCGCCGUAA